rnacentral:rRNA from 1 species
UACAGAGGUCCCAAGCGUUGUUCGGAUUCACUGGGCGUAAAGGGCGCGUAGGUGGUGGCUUAAGCGUGCGGUGAAAGCUCGGGGCUCAACCCCGAGUCGGCCGUGCGAACUGGGCUCACUGGAGCAUAGUAGAGGCAGGUGGAAUUCCGGGUGUAGCGGUGGAAUGCGUAGAGAUCGGCAGGAACACCCAGGGGGAAACCAGUGGACUGGGCAGGCGCUGACACUCAUGUGCGAAAGCG